CUGAGAACAAGGCGAUGGGGAUGAGCAGCAUAAUACUGGCUUCGUCGGGGGCGAGGGUUUUAAUUCUACGGUAAACUUGUACUUUCGUUUCGAGCACAGGGUUUGGAGUGAAGCCAAAACUUUCUUCGGGCUAAGGUCUGUCAUGAAACUUUAAGCAACUGUCGGUUGCACCACAGUCGGAGAACAGAACAACAGCAACCAUCAACAUGAUACUGGCUUCAUCCGGAGCAUUGGUCCGAAUUCUUUUGUGAAGUUGCAUUUGCAUCUCUUUCACCCCGUCGGCACAAUUACAGGCACAUUCGCCACCCUGCACAGAAAAAUACACAUAUUCAAAAAGUGUACACAGAUUUCUGAAAUUACAUAUGUAACUUCUUAGUGGAAAACCAAAAUGUGUAUAAAUUUUGAACCAAAUUAAAAAUUUUGAGGAUAUUCAUCAUGUUAUAACAUGAAAUGUAUAUAUUUCACAUUUAUCUUGCGAAUUAAAAAUGGUGUAAAAAUUAUUAAUAUGCA